AUGUGCAUGCAUAUAGGUACAUAUAUGCAUCUAUUUGCACGUGUGUGCAUGCAUAUGU
rnacentral:pre_miRNA from 1 species